AACGAACGCUGGCGGCAGGCCUAAUACAUGCAAGUCGAACGCCCCACCAAUGGAGAGUGGCAGACGGGCGAGUAACGCGUGGGAACCUUCCCAGAGGUACGGAAUAGCUCAGGGAAACCUGAGGUAAGACCGUAUACGUACCUCGCGGGGAAGAUUUAUCGCCAAUGGAUGGGCCCGCGUCGGAUUAGCUAGUUGGUGGGGUAAUGGCCCACCAAGGCGACGAUCCGUAGCUGGUCUGAGAGGAUGAUCAGCCACACUGGGACUGAGACACGGCCCAGACUCCUACGGGAGGCAGCAGUAGGGAAUAUUGGACAAUGGGCGCAAGCCUGAUCCAGCCAUGCCGCGUGAGUGACGAAGGCCUUCGGGUUGUAAAGCUCUUUUGGCGGGGACGAUAAUGACGGUACCCGCAGAAUAAGCUCCGGCUAACUUCGUGCCAGCCGCCGCAGUAACAC
rnacentral:rRNA from 1 species